rnacentral:rRNA from 1 species
UUGCCUACGGGAGGCAGCAGUGAGGGAUAUUGGUCAAUGGGGGAAACCCUGAACCAGCAACGCCGCGUGAGGGAAGCCGGUUUUCGGAUUGUAAACCUCUGUCCUCUGUGAAGAUAAUGACGGUAUCUAACGAAUAAGCACCGGCUAACUCCGUGCCAGCAGCCGCGGUAAUACGGAGGGUGCAAGCGUUACUCGGAAUCACUGGGCGUAAAGAGCGCGUAGGCGGGAUAGCAAGUCAGAUGUGAAAUCCUAUGGCUUAACCAUAGAACUGCAUUUGAAACUGUUAUUCUAGAGUAUGGGAGAGG